ACCAAGAUGGCCGAGUGGUUAAGGCGAUGGACUUAAGUGCUUAUUACUUAGCAUUCCAUUAUCGUAAGAUGCCUGGGUUCGAACCCCAGUCUUGGUA
rnacentral:tRNA from 1 species